GAUGAACGCUGGCGGCGUGCCUAAUACAUGCAAGUCGAGCGAACGGACGAGAAGCUUGCUUCUCUGAGGUUAGCGGCGGACGGGUGAGUAACACGUGGAUAACCUACCUAUAAGACUGGGAUAACUUCGGGAAACCGUAGCUAAUACCGGAUAAUAUUUUGAACCGCAUGGUUCAAAAGUGAAAGACGGUCUUGCUGUCACUUAUAGAUGGAUCCGCGCUGCAUUAGCUAGUUGGUAAGGUAACGGCUUACCAAGGCAACGAUGCAUAGCCGCCCUGAGAGGGUGAUCGGCCACACGGGAACUGAGACACGGUCCAGACUCCUACGGGAGGCAGCAGUAGGGAAUCUUCCGCAAUGGGCGAAAGCCUGACGGAGCAACGCCGCGUGAGUGAUGAAGGUCUUCGGAUCGUAAAACUCUGUUAUUAGGGAAGAACAUAUGUGUAAGUAACUGUGCACAUCUUGACGGUACCUAAUCAGAAAGCCACGGCUAACUACGUG
rnacentral:rRNA from 1 species